rnacentral:rRNA from 1 species
UACGUAGGGUCCAAGCGUUAAUCGGAAUUACUGGGCGUAAAGCGUGUGCAGGCGGUUUCGAAAGUCCGAUGUGAAAUCCCCGAGCUUAACUUGGGAACUGCGUUGGAAACUACGAGGCUAGAGUGCGGCAGAGGGGGGUGGAAUUCCAGGUGUAGCAGUGAAAUGCGUAGAGAUCUGGAGGAACACCGAUGGCGAAGGCAGCCCCCUGGGUUAGCACUGACGCUGAGGCACGAAAGCGUGGGGAGCAAACAGG